UGAGGAAUAUUGGUCAAUGGGCGUAAGCCUGAACCAGCCAAGUCGCGUGAGGGAAGACGGUCCUAUGGAUUGUAAACCUCUUUUGCAGGGAGCAAGACGCGGUACGUGUACCGUGCUGGAGAGUACCCUGAGAAAAAGCAUCGGCUAACUCCGUGCCAGCAGCCGCGGUAAUACGGAGGAUGCGAGCGUUAUCCGGAUUUAUUGGGUUUAAAGGGUGCGUAGGCGGACUGGUAAGUCAGCGGUAAAAAUUGCGGUGCUCAACGCCGUAGUGCCGUUGAAACUGCCGGUCUUGAGUGAGCGAGAAGUAUGCGGAAUGCGUGGUGUAGCGGUGAAAUGCAUAGAUAUCACGCAGAACUCCGAUUGCGAAGGCAGCAUACCGGCGCUCAACUGACGCUGAGGCACGAAAGCGUGGGGGAUCGAACAGGAUUAGAUACC
rnacentral:rRNA from 1 species